GCACGGGUGGUUUAGUGGUAGAAUUCUCACCUGCCACGUGGGAGGCCCAGGUUCAAUUCCUGGCCCAUGCA